AGUCGGCUGCGUACUCCUGCGAGCGCCGGAGAGGGGCUGGAGGCGGGGCGAGGGCGCGGCUCGAGGCAUCCCUGCAGGGCGCUCCUCCGAGUCCCUCGGCGCUCUGAGCCCACAGGGAAGAAGGAGGGGCCGGCGUCAGUGACGUCAGCGAGACCGAGGUGAGCGUGGGCGUUGCCAGUGGUGCUCUGUCAGUGCCUAUGGAUUAUGGCAGGGAAAGUAAAAUGGGUCACUGAUAUCGAGAAGUCAGUGCUGAUCAAUAACUUUGAAAAGAGAGGAUGGGUCCAAGUGACAGAAAACGAGGACUGGAAUUUUUACUGGCUCCUUGACCUUCCUGAAUUUCGGUACAGAUCCUGUUUAAAUGAGUUUCCUGACUUCAGAGUCUGAAAAGGGAUGAGUGUGCAAACCAUCCGAAAUGUGUUCAGCGUUGAAGCUGGAUAUCGGCUCUCAGAUGACCAAAUAGUCAACCAUUUUCCAAACCACUAUGAACUGACCCGGAAGGACCUGAUGGUGAAGAACAUCAAAAGAUACAGGAAGGAGCUGGAGAAAGAAGGGAGUCCUCUGGCAGAAAAAGAUGAAAAUGGAAAAUACCUCUAUCUGGGUUUGUGCGUCUUCCACCGGCUCAUGUUUUCAACUUUGUUCCAGUCACCUAUAUGCUGCCCGCUGACUACAACCUGUUUGUAGAGGAGUUCCGGAAGAGCCCGUCCAGCACCUGGAUCAUGAAGCCUUGUGGCAAGGCCCAGGGAAAGGGCAUCUUCCUUAUCAACAAGCUCUCACAGAUCAAAAAGUGGUCCCGGGACAGCAAGACAUCUUCGUUUGUGUCUCAAUCUAAUAAGGAAGCCUACGUGAUCUCUCUCUAUAUUAACAACCCGUUACUAAUUGGCGGGAGGAAGUUCGACCUGCGCUUGUACGUUCUGGUGUCCACGUACCGUCCACUGCGCUGUUACAUGUACAAGCUUGGGUUUUGCCGGUUCUGCACAGUGAAAUACACCCCGAGUACCAGUGAGCUGGACAACAUGUUCGUUCAUCUCACCAACGUCGCCAUCCAGAAACACGGGGAGGACUACAACCACAUCCAUGGGGGCAAGUGGACAGUGAGUAACCUGCGGCUCUACCUGGAGAGCACCCGCGGCAAGGAGGUGACCAGCAAGCUGUUCGACGAGAUCCACUGGAUCAUCGUGCAGUCCCUGAAGGCUGUGGCGCCGGUGAUGAACAAUGACAAGCACUGCUUUGAAUGCUAUGGCUACGACAUCAUCAUCGACGACAAGCUGAAGCCCUGGCUGAUCGAGGUGAAUGCGUCCCCGUCUCUCACGUCCAGCACUGCCAAUGACCGAAUCCUCAAGUACAACCUGAUUAAUGACACCCUCAACAUCGCCGUCCCGAAUGGUGAAAUCCCAGACUGCAAAUGGAACAAGUCGCCACCUAAGGAAGUCCUCGGCAAUUACGAGAUUCUGUAUGAUGAAGAAUUGGCCCAGGGUGACGGGGCUGACCGGGAGCUGAGAAGCCGUCAGGGUCAGUCUCUGGGGCCCAGAGCAGGCCGAUCGAGAGACUCGGGGAGAGCGGUCCUCACCACCUGGAAGUGAGUCCCACCUGGACCUUAUCAAAACUACUCACUCCACCUGGGCCCCUGCUGAAGCCCUAUUUUGAAAUUUCCCUUUUGUAGAGCUUUUUUCCUUUCCUAAGCCCUGUAAAUAAACGAAGGCACUUCUUUGGAAGGUUAUGGAGUCUGUUUGACUAGUGCUAAAGGAAACAAUUCAUGCGGAUGUAUAAAACUCGCUCUUUUUUUUUUAAUUUUUAACCUAAGCAGAAUUUUCAUAUUAAAAACUCACUUUUUUGACAGAAA